AACGUAGGACGCAAGCGUUAUCCGGAAUUACUGGGCGUAAAGCGCGCGUAGGCGGCUCGUCAAGUCAGGCGUGAAAGCCCCGAGCUUAACUCGGGAACUGCGCUUGAUACUGUCGAGCUAGAGUGUGGAAGGGGCGAUUGGAAUUCCGUGUGUAGCGGUGAAAUGCGUAGAUAUACGGAGGAACACCAGGGGCGAAGGCGGAUCGCUGGGCCAACACUGACGCUGAUGCGCGAAAGCUAGGGGAGCAAACGGG
rnacentral:rRNA from 1 species